CAGGAAGGUAAUGGUAUUGUCUUGUCAUGUGAUUAUGUUUUCACAUCUGUUGAUAUAAAUGUGAUCCGAAAGUUUACAGAGCUGCAGGAACGUUAUACUAAUGAUGUGAUCAUGCUUAGGGUACAUCAAUUGGAAAACAAUGCUUUUUUAAGAAACAGCAGUCAUUUUCUGCAGACAAUAUAUUAAAAUAUUUCGUUCGCGAUUAUUUUAACGGUACUUCUCGACUAGCAAAAGGGAUUUUGCAGACCUUAUAACAGUAAGAAAACAAUACGUAUCAUGUCGAAAAACUGUCGCAGAAACCUUGAAGCUGAAAUCAUGGAAAGCAUAUAACGGUUGGGUUAAAGAUGGACCUGACCUCCGAUUGAAAUUGCGGAAUGAAAAGAGACAGAAAAAUUAGGACAGCACUAGAGCAUUAACUAGUUGAUUUGGAUAUCGGGCAGGAGUUUUCCCUUGCAUGGAUUCAGAGCCAAGUAAAAACAACGGCAUAUGGAAGUACACACUUUACUUCGAUACCGAAGCUGCCUUCAAAGUGAGCGACAAAUACGACAACAUUAAAGAAGAGGACCUUAUGAGCAAACUUAAAUCUCUUGUCGGUGUUGAUGAGGAUAUUUUACGUGUGUACGUGUAUGAAGUACCCUUGCAUAAAUGGCAAAUAACUAAACCACUUUUAUUCCAUAUGUUCGUCGUGUUUGAAACGCAAAAUUGGUGGUGGUCAAUCGAAAAAGAUUCGAAUGGCGUUAAUCUACAGCGCAGCAAACUUUCAGAUGUUGUACUUUAUACCAUAAGACAGAAACGGCGUGUACCAGGCUUACAAGUGAUGCUCCGCGACGAAGGAAAUAUGAGCAUGCACACCCUUUUAUAUCGGUUAUAUCUAGCGGGGGAGUUAAAGACGGAAUACGAUAACAACGAUAGAAACUGCAAACACUUUGCUACAUCUGUAUUCAAUAAGGUUGCAAAAAAUAAGGAAAUUGUCUUUGUACAUUUUACAGCCUUUAAAAGAUAAAGGUCGGACGAACAAAAGAAACUGUUCGGAUACGAAUUAAGCUUUUACUUCAUUUUUAGAAUCCGGAUAUUUUUCCUAAUUUCAUAAAUAAAGGUUACAUUAAUUAGACUAACUAAAUAAGUUACAAAUUAUUUUAAAAAGUAGUAAAAACAAAAAAAAAUGUCCGGUAAAAACAUUGAUGAAACUCGGUCGAGUAUUACGUUUGUCACAUCAUACUAGAGUACACAAUGAUUUUUGUUCAGUCAUGUGAUAACAUGUGAAUUGUUUUGGUUACAAGUAAAGUUUUUAUUUGACUCUCAGAAAGGCACAAUGCAAGCUUACAACAUAACCUGAAUACUUUACAGAGGGUAUUCUGCUUUUGGUUCAGUUCCUAGUUAGAAAUUAUAUAGUAAUUAACAUGUUGAUAGAACGUUUCCAGGUUUCCUAGGUUGGAGAUUUUUCCUUUUCACGACAGACCUCGAAAGUCGGCAUAUAGCACUAGUGUUCAUGCACCUCCUUGACAUUUGUAAUUGCCAUUUAAAAUGAAUAAUAACCACACGAUUUUUAUUUUAAUUUGACUUGUAAGUUGGAUGAUUUUCGGCAGUCUUAUUCUCGCGAAUUUCGCAAUUUUACUUACUCCGGCUUUAACAGACUUCCAAAUAUGCAAUGAAUAUGUGUUAACAUGAUAUAAUUCAAACCAGUCACUAUUGGGAAAACAAUUGUUAUGAAAACAAGAGUGAAAACUGGACAGUUCAAUUGAUGUUAACAAACUAGAACUAACCAAUAAUAAAUCCGGAACCGAACUUUUAAAAAUAUAGAACCGUACCUUUGAGUCUUCAAAUAGUUCUUUUUUUCGGCUAUAUCGGUAGCCCGUUACAGCACGUAUUUUAGUUAUAAUUUGCGAUAAUUGAAUGAGUAUAAAUGCUUAGGUAGUGUCUUUGACUACAUGCUACAUACCAACGGCAAUAUUACACAAACUAAUGGGGGAUUUCGAUACACGUGUAAUAUGCAGAAUUACCGAAAUACCAGCCAUAUGUGAAAUUAUUUUCGGUUAAAUACAUACGGUAUCGUAUUGGUUUUGUUUGAUUCGCCAUUCGAGGUGUGUAGUUGACAGGCAUAUGUAAUGGAGAAGAAGAAAGAAAGGGUGAUAAAUCCGCCCUCCAGCCCAUUAAUGAACAUGUGCGUGUUAAAAAAAAACAUGUGGAUGGGAUCUUAUCACGAACCGAUUCCUUAACUAUGAAGAUCAAUAGGUGAAAUUUCAUCGAAAUCUGAAGCAGUUAAGCUUUCUUGAUUAUUUUGUUCCAUAUUUUGCUUCAUACUUUCUUUUAAUGCGAAUUUUUAUUUUAAGUUAUGAGUAGAUCUAUGUGACUUCAUACUUGCACCUAUAGAGAUUAUUUUUAGCCCAUCUUUAAAGAAAUUUUAGUAUGUGUAAAUAUCCGCAGCAUUUAACUUAUUCAAGCUUCAUCAUUUUUGUUGUGUAAUUUACGUAACGUUUAAUUUAAAAAGUUAUUGAUAUUUUCUAUAUUUUAAGAAGAUUACUUUUAUCUUUUCGUUGUGACUGGUUAGAAAUGGAUGUCGGUUUAAUGCAGUUGUUGCAAACUUUCGUCAAAGGCAUAUAUGUCAUACUUUAAUACUUAUGAUUUAACAACACUGUUUAAAAGUAUAAGUUUGUACAUAUUAUUAUUUGAAUAAUUUGUUUUUUGUUGAUUUCAAAAGUGCAUAGAGGAUACUUUUAAUGUUUAUUUAGUAUGUUAAUUUGCGAAACGAAUGGAACCAUGAGUUAUGUUCAUGGUUUGCUAAAAUAAUACUUAAUACACUUCUCUUGAUUGAUGGUAAUGGAUAAAUAUUGAAAACAUCGCAGCUGCUUUAAAGAAAAACUAAGUUUUCACUUUGUGCACUUAAAUGGUUUUGACUUGACAAACGUUAGCGUUAUUGUUUAUGUUGUAAUUUAGAAGACGAAAACCACUUCAUAUGUAUUUUCCGUUGUUACACUGAUUUGUGAAAAUAAAAUAAUAGACGUAUAUUUUAUAUUUACCCAUCUCUAUAUAAAAAUCCACUAAUGAUUAGUAUGAUUUAAAAUGUAUGUAUUUUUAUGUACAUAAAUCAAAGAAGCUUUAGUUAUAAGAAAUACGAUAAUAAAUAAUACUGUUUAAUAUAUUCACAACACACCCUCAAUUAUGAAUACAACUUACGUGCUUUUACCAUAAAUUGUGUUGAAUUUUAUUUGUAUUUGACUUUUCUGUUAUAUAUUGAUAUUUUAUUAUUCGUAGUCACAUGACAUAAAAUACUGUGUAUUUAAAAAGGAAGACGAUGCACUGUAGUAUAAGUCUAAAUAAACUGUCCAUCUAUCUGUCUGUUUGACUAAGUGUUUGGCUCCUGAUUAUAAAAUCAUAAAUUAUUAAUAGUGUGCCCCCUCCUUUAUUUCAACUUUCAGUUUUAGCUAACGUAGUUUAUAUAAUGUUUUAAUUGUCUAAUAAGCUGAAAUAACUUAAGUUACAUUGUUAUUUUGAUAAAAUGAAAACACAAAUGAUACUAGACUUUUUUAUACUUCUGACAGCUAAGCACGGACUAACAUUGACAGGAAGGUCGAUAUUGUUAUAUCAGUCGUUCAAUUUAAUGAAUUCAUUUUAAAACAUACCUUCUAAAAUUUAGAAAAAAAAGUCAAGCAUACAUUUUAUUUACUUAGCCUAAAUGAUACAUAAUUAGAUCUAAAACACUCCACAAAUUAUGUUUAGAUUUAAUUUUCAAAGUCGACGUAAUGUUGAUGUAUCGAUCAAAUAACUAU